CCAGAUCCUCCUGAAGGAGCAGGUUUGAGUUUGGCUAUAAAUAGUGCUCUUCAGCUACUGUUCCUAGCAUCUCUCUUCUUCUCACAGAAACAAAUUUAGUGUAGAAUGGAAACAAUGCAUGCAGAAAACAGCUGGAGCAUCAGAAACCACAGACCAGCAAAACCCAACAGGACCGAGAGAGAAACUGAGCACAGAAAUGAGACACAAGCCAGUGAACCACAAGAGGAAAGACUUGUUAGAUGUGACAGUAUGCGGAGAAUAAAGCCAGACCUCUCUUGUGAAGACCUGAACAUUAUC